AGCUUGGCCCAUUGGCAGUGUCAUAGUCAAUGAAGUUUAUCCAAGGCACAAUUAUUGCUAAUUGAAAACCUUUCCCCAAUAGUCCUCUGUUUAGGUGCAAGUACUUGUUUAAGAAGAGAGGUUGGUUUUCAG
rnacentral:snRNA from 14 species